UACGUAGGGUGCGAGCGUUGUCCGGAAUUAUUGGGCGUAAAGAGCUCGUAGGCGGUUUGUCGCGUCUGCUGUGAAAACCCGAGGCUCAACCUCGGGCCUGCAGUGGGUACGGGCAGACUAGAGUGCGGUAGGGGAGAUUGGAAUUCCUGGUGUAGCGGUGGAAUGCGCAGAUAUCAGGAGGAACACCGAUGGCGAAGGCAGAUCUCUGGGCCGUAACUGACGCUGAGGAGCAAAAGCAUGGGGAGCGAACAGG
rnacentral:rRNA from 1 species